CUAGCCUAAGACAUGCAAGUCGUACGAGGAGGCCACAGAUCAUUGAAACUGAAGUGCUUGCACAGAUUGCGGAUUAUGAUGAAGUGGAAUUUCCUCCGUAGUGGCAAACGGGUGAGUAACACGUGGGUACCUACCUCUAAGUCGGGGAUACCAAUUGGAAACGAUUGUAAUACCGGAUGUGCUCUACGGAGUAAAGAUGCCCUUAAAGCAUCGCUUGGAGAUGGGCCUGCGGCGCAUUAGCUAGUUGGUGGGGUAAUGGCCCACCAAGGUUACGAUGCGUAGCCGAACUGAGAGGUUGAUCGGCCACAUUGGGACUGAGACACGGCCCAGACUCCUACGGGAGACAGCAGUUAGGAAUAUUCGUCAAUGGGGGCAACCCUGAACGAGCAAUGCCGCGUGAGUGAAUGACGGUCCUCUGGAUUGUAAAACUCUGUUGUUUAGGAAAAAUUAUACAUAUAGGAAAUGAUAUGUGUUUGAUGGUACUAUUCAAGAAAGCCACGGUUAACUACGUGCCAGCCGCCGC
rnacentral:rRNA from 1 species